rnacentral:rRNA from 1 species
GGGUGCAGCAGGCGCGAAAACUUUACAAUGCGGGAAACCGUGAUAAGGGGACACCGAGUGCCAGCAUCAUAUGCUGGCUGUCCGGGUGUGUAAAAUACACCUGUUAGCAAGGGCCGGGCAAGACCGGUGCCAGCCGCCGCGGUAACACCGGCGGCCCGAGUGGUGAUCGUGAUUAUUGGGUCUAAAGGGUCCGUAGCCGGUUUGGUCAGUCCUCCGGGAAAUCUGAUAGCUCAACUAUUAGGCUUUCGGGGGAUACUGCCAGACUUGGAACCGGGAGAGGUAAGAGGUACUACAGGGGUAGGAGUGAAACCUUGUAAUCCCUGUGGGACCACCUGUGGCGAAGGCGUCUUACCAGAACGGGUUCGACGGUGAGGGACGAAAGCUGGGGGCACGAACCGGAUUAGAUACCCGGGUAGUCCCAGCCGUAAACGAUGCUCGCUAGGUGUCAGGCAUGGCGCGACCGUGUCUGGUGCCGCAGGGAAGCCGUGAAGCGAGCCACCUGGGAAGUACGGCCGCAAGGCUGAAACUUAAAGGAAUUGGCGGGGGAG